rnacentral:rRNA from 1 species
GAUGAACGCUGGCGGCGGGCCUAACACAUGCAAGUCGAGCGAACAGACGAGGAGCUCGCUCCUCUGACGUUGGCGGCGGACGGGCGAGUAACACGUGGAUCACCUACUUAUAUGACUGGGAUAACAUCGGGAAACCGGAGCCACUACCAGAGAAUACAUUGAACGGCAUGAUUCAAUAGAGAAUCACGGCUUGGCUGUCACUUAUAGAUGGAUCCGCGCCGCAUUAGCUAGUUGGUAAGGUAACGGCUUACCAAGGCAACGAUGCGUAGCCGGCCUGAGAGGGUGAUCAGCCACACUGGAACUGAGACACGGUCCAGACUCCUACGGGAGGCAGCAGUAGGGAAUAUUAGACAAUGGGCGAAAGCCUGACGGAGCAACGCCGCGUGAGUGAUGAAGGUCUUCGGAUCGUAAAACUCUUUUAUUAGGAAAGAACAAAUGUAUAAUAAUAUAUGCACGUCUUGACGGUACCUAAUCAGAAAGCCACGGCUAACUUCGUG